rnacentral:tRNA from 1 species
GGGGAUUUGGCUCAGCGGUAGAGCACUUGCCUAGCAAGCACAAGGCCCUGGGUUCGGUCCCCAGCUCUG